CGUUCAAACACUAGUUCUCAUACUAUCACCAAAGUUAAGCAACGUUGAGCCUAGUCAGUACUUAGAUGGGUGACACCUUGGGAAUAUCAGGUGGUGUA